rnacentral:rRNA from 1 species
UACGUAGGGGGCGAGCGUUGUCCGGAUUUAUUGGGCGUAAAGAGCGUGUAGGCGGCCGAGCAGGUCCGUUGUGAAAACUGAAGGCUCAACCUUCAGAGGUCGAUGGAAACCGUUCGGCUAGAGUCCGGAAGAGGAGAGUGGAAUUCCUGGUGUAGCGGUGAAAUGCGCAGAUAUCAGGAAGAACACCCGUGGCGAAAGCGGCUCUCGGGGACGGUACUGACUAUGAGACGCGAAAGCGUGGGGAGCGAACAGG